rnacentral:rRNA from 1 species
UACGUAGGGUGCAAGCGUUGUCCGGAAUUAUUGGGCGUAAAGAGCUCGUAGGCGGUUUGUCGCGUCUGCUGUGAAAACCCGAGGCUCAACCUCGGGCCUGCAGUGGGUACGGGCAGACUAGAGUCCGGAAGAGGAGAGUGGAAUUCCUGGUGUAGCGGUGAAAUGCGCAGAUAUCAGGAAGAACACCCGUGGCUAAGGCGGCUCUCUAGUACGGUACUGACGCUGAGACGCGAAAGCGUGGGGAGCGAAC